rnacentral:rRNA from 1 species
GACGAACGCUGGCGGCGUGCUUAACACAUGCAAGUCGAACGGAAAGGCCUGUCCUUCCUUGUGUUGGACGGGUACUCGAGUGGCGAACGGGUGAGUAACACGUGAGUGAUCUGCCCCCAACUUGGGUAUAAGCCUGGGAAACUGGUUCUAAUUCCCGAUAGGACUGCAGGGUGGUGCCUGUGGUGGAAAACGAUUUUCUAGUGGUGGGGGGUGAGCUCGCGGCCUGUCAGCGUGUUGGUGGGGUAGUGGCCUACCGAGGCGCCGACAGGACGCCGGGCGGAGGGGGCGGAACGCCACCCAGGGACAGGGAGAGAGCCCAGACGCCCUGGGGAGGCGACGGGGGGGAAUAUUGCACAAGGGGCGGCAGCCCGAGGCGACAACGCCGCGUGCGGGGUGACGGGCUUCGGGUUGUAAACCGCUUUCAGCAGGGGCGGAGCUUGUGGUGACGGUACCUACAGAAGAAGCACCGGCUAACUACGUG